rnacentral:lncRNA from 1 species
UUAAUAGACCACUUGUUGAGCGCCCAUUUAUUUCAAAGCUCUUAUUACUAAGUCCUAGACUCCUCUUCUCAAGCACAUGGCUAUCAGGUACGUGGGAAGCUUGUUAAAUGCAUGGGUUCUUGCUCGUCUUUGGGAGACAUAUCAGCAUGCUUGGAAAGAGAUACACGCAAGACAAUCAACACAAGAUUUGCUUUAUUUCUAGGACGCAUGGCCAAGCACUCUACUUAUAGAACUCCAUAACCCAGAAAUUACCAAUAGCACGUUCACAACUCAUCCCACUAAAACCAGCGCCAGUAGCCAGGGUCAUGAAUUCAUGCCUUGUUCUCUCCUUUCCACCGGGACAAUGAAUCAUCAUAAGCACGUCAAAAUGGGAAUUUGAUUUUGAUUCAAUGCUUGUAUUAGGAACUUCUGGAAGCAUUGACUCCACAACGAUUACCUUUCCAUCUUCCGGAAUGCUUUUGCAGCAAUUCUUCAACAACUUCAAGCAAUGUUCAUCAUUCCAAUCGUGCA